rnacentral:rRNA from 1 species
CAGUAGGGAAUCUUCGGCAAUGGGGGCAACCCUGACCGAGCAACGCCGCGUGAGUGAAGAAGGUUUUCGGUAUCGUAAAGACUCUGUUGUAAGAGAAGAACGUGUGUGAGAGUGGAAAGUUCACACAGUGACGGUAACUUACCAGAAAGGGACGGCUAACUACGUGCCAG